rnacentral:rRNA from 1 species
CAACUUUCAACAACGGAUCUCUUGGCUCUCGCAUCGAUGAAGAACGCAGCGAAAUGCGGUACGUAAUGCGGGCUGCAGACUUCAGAGAAUCAUCGAAUCUUUGAACGCACAUUGCGCUCUCUGAUAUUCCGGAGCGCAUGCUUGUUUGAGUAUCAGUA